UGGGAGCCUUUUCCUGCAAGCCCCAAAUCUUCCGAUCCGGGUAUUCUGUGCAAAGGAAGUGAGGAAAGUCUGGUUGUGGCAGGUUCUGUCUCUUAGAGAAAUGUGAGUCAUGUGCACUGAAACGUAAGUUGCAGCUGCAGCCUGUGUCUUUGGAUAUUGCUCAAGGUUGCUCAGUCCAGGCAAAUUUCUGGCAAAAUAUCUAUGGGGUGGAAACUGGGAUUUUUAGCUCUGUUCUUCAAUAAAUUAUCUGUCAUGUGCAUUGGAGGAACAGCUCUGCAAUCCUAACCCCAUGGUCUCUCUGCAUUCCUGGUCGAUCACCUAUGCUGUUGGAUGAUGUCUCAGGGAGAAUGGAGCUGAAUGAAAUUCCUGGAUGGCCCAGUGGGUGAUGAGCAUCUGAAACACAUUUCUACAUUGAAUGUGAACUACUAAAAAUUCAUCCUCCUGCCAAUACCUACCCGAAAGUACUGCAUAGGUUUGCAUGCUGAUAGGGAAGGUGAACAUAUAUUUGCUCAGCUCCUGGCAGAGCAAAUAUGCUCUGAGGUGUCUGGGGGGCACCACUCUCUGCCCUGUAUAAUAAACGACUUCCUGUUUUCUCUUUCUGCAACAUACUGUCAGAAUACUAUGAAACAAAAAUUUAAGCAAAGGUGAGUGAAAUCCUGAACCCAGAACAGAAAUGGAAGUGUCUGCAUCACACUUCAGUACUCUGGGCUAUCUGAUCUCUUCUAAUAAUGUGUGUGUAUCUAGCAUAACGUUACCUUUCUUAUCUCCUUACAAUCUUGUGGUAGUCAUCACAAACUGUUCUAUUUGUUGUUGCUACCAAAGAUCACUUUGUAUGUUUUUUUUAUGCAUUUCUUAGUUACAGUAGGAGAUAUUUUGACAUAUUGAAACUUUAAAAAUAAAUCACAUUUUCUUUUUUGAAGAUUAUCACUACACAUUUUGGAAAUAUGUUGAUUAAUGGUCUGGAAUUUCUUAACACUUCAAAUCCUUACUUAAGAGUUGAAGCUUCCACAGCAGUUAAACUAUAACAAUCCUUUCCCCCUCGCCCAUUUUUUUUUUCUUUUGAUCAUAACGUUUGUGAAAAUGGUGAUAUCAAAGAAUAGUGUACACUGUGAAGGAGAAAAAGUCUUCAGAGUUUGAAAACAGUGCUGUUAUCUUUGAUACUGAACUUUAUAACCAAUAUGCAAUUUGCCAAAAUAGACCUAUAAAAGUUCACUCAAUACUAACCUUCAUUUUCAUUGUCUAUAACAAACAGCAACUUUGACAGAGAACCAAGGAAUUUCUUUAAAGGGGAGAACAGACAAAGCCCUUCACCCUAGGCCUACUUAAUCCAUUUUUCUAACAGCACUUCUAAUAGGUAACCAUACCUUUAUGCUUGAGAAAAAGUAGUUUUAUAAAAUUAUUAUAUUAAAGCUCUUUCACAAUUAUUUAUUAAAGAACAUUUUUUCCUUAAGUUUCUAAACUGUGUAAACUCAGGCAGCCUGUCUGAAAUUACAUCACAUACUUUGAGACACCUGAAGAUGCAUGGGCAUCAACAACUUCAAUUUGCCUCACUGGACUUAUGAUGGGCUCUUUCAGCAGUCUCAUUUUUUGUAAAAGGAAAUGGACAUUACUCAUCCCUUCAAAGAAACUCAAACUCUAAUGCUUUGAGGAUAAAAAAAUCUGUGGCUUAAUUCUGCUCUCAUUGAACUCAAUGAAAAGAAUUAGGGAUUUUGUUUUUAAAUAACAGUUAUUUUCAGAAUCACUGUGUUUUUGUUUUUUUUUUCAUAACCUAAUUGUGUUGAUGUAGGAUAGAGAUCCUAUGCAUUAUGAGUACUCAGGUAAAUUAAUUGCUGCAGAUUCCAAAGAUCUACCAUAUUAUCAUGUCAUUCAUUUCAAACGUUAGAAUGUCACAAGAUGUUUUUAUUCUACACUCUUCUUUCAACUCCUAUCAAGAAUGCUGGCGCUGUCCACGGUACUUUCGGUUGUCUCUUGCCAAGCCUCUGUGGUUGCAGAACAUAGCAUGGAAGUCCCACUUAAUAUUCAAAAUAAAAUACAAACUCAGAUAUAAAAAAUAAAAAUGUAUAUGAAUAUAAUCAUUAAGUAUUUAUCCCUCAAAUACUUUCAAUUUAAAAAGCAUACACCGGGAAUGUGUAAAAGUGCAUAAUGUCAAGCGAGUCAAUCCAGUAAUGCCUGACAUGUACAAAAGGAAUACUUAAUUAUAUGUGAAUAUAGAAAAGCAGAAUGCAUAGGCCAAUUUAUCAGAUACUGUAGUUUAUAUUUUGAAAUAUAAGAGAUAAAAAAUACACUUUUAAUCUUGGCCUACGAAGAGUAAAAUGGGUGGCAACUGCUGUAUGAAUCCUUAUGGAAACCUGUAAUAAUAUAUAAAAAAGGGGGAAAAAUAAUGCUUUACAUAUCUCUAAAAAAAUUGUAUUACUUAUUCCAAACUGUUGGAUAAAUAGGGGAUUAUGUAUGAUCUAUGAAACAUGAAAUAAGUAUACAAAAGAGGUAUUGUGAUUGAAAAUAAAUGUAAUCAAAAUGGUUUUCUGACAACAGAAAUUAUAACCUAAAAGAGGACCUGUUUUAAUUUUUCAUUUUUCUUUGCU